UUAACUCGAAUUUUGAUGCUCCAAUUGCAUACCUAAUAAAAUUAAACAAAAAAUUACAGACUCGAUAUCAAAAAUUACCAAAAUUGGGUGCGUUAAACAUACAAAUUCAGCUUGUUAUUAAAUCCCCCUACUUAGCUGAUGCUUGUCCUCAAGCAUGUUAUGUAUUCCCAUACUAGAAACAAUUUCACAACUUGCUCUGAAAUUAAGUCUCAUCUCACAACAAAGCAAAAUGCAAACAAUUUAAGUGAAGCAUGAGUAAGCAGUUGUUAAAUUUAACUAACAAGCAUUUUUAUAGAAUUCUAACAUUAUGCAACAAAAUCAACUAUUUCACCAAAUUAAAUCUUUAAUAAAAAUUGCAAAACAAUAGUAUAUUUAUUUACUAGAUCAGGACGUAGGCAAAUCUUUUUACGCGAAAUGAGAUGACAACCCAAGCACCUCACCCCGAUUACUUAAUUCAGCUUCAUUCCCAAACUCUUCACUCAUAACUAAGCUAUCAGCGGAGUAUGUAUAUAAAUUUAUUUUUUAUUAUUAUUUUUCGAGUAUUUUUAUUAGGCAAGUUUAAAAAGAAACUAACAAUUUUCAUGGAAUGUUGACUUAGUCAUAAUAUUUACAAUUCUACAAAUGACUUGUCAAUCAAAUUAAGCAGUAAGUAAUUAUUCAUGAAUCACAUAAUCAUUCAAGUUAACUAAGCAUGAGAAUUGAAAUUUUAAAUAAACUUAGGGAAUAACUUCAAUACGGGAAUUAACACAUGCAACGAAGAAUGAGAAAUAGCAAAGCAUACAAACCCCCUACUUAGUCCAUAUUGCCCUCAAUGUGCAAUAAUAAAUAAAUAAAAUAGGGUCAAGUGUACUCCUCGUGUAUGUUUUAAUGAGGCAAAGGAUGGUGGAAGUGACUACUUUACAGUAUGGUGAGGAUGCUUGAGAUGUUGGCUUCUAUUGUUUCUAGGCGAGCCUCAAUGUGGUUUAGUCUCUCUUCCAUAGCGGAAGGGGGCUACUCCUCUUGCUCUGUAGGAGUCGGAUCGUGUGUUCGUCAGAACACUCUAUUGCUUCGAGUAGUUCAUGUACCUAGGGGAACAAAACAAAACGCAAUAGGGGUGCCGACAAGCAAACUCAUAGAAUCCAGACAAUAUGUGAGAGAUGAAAAAUUAAUUCCGGAUGGAAAAAUGUUUGUGGCUAAAUGCGUGAUGUAUGGGCCGAGUAUGAGAGGUCGGUGGGCCCAAAUUAUAGCAUGAAAAAUACGUACAAGCCAAUAUCCUAAGUUGACCCUGUAAUUGGAGUGCAUGCACCACCAGAAAAAUAAUUUUGUCUAGGUUAAGACAAACAGAGAAUGUUUUCGACUCGAAUAGUUAAAAGCAAAGAAUCUAUGAAUAUAUCUUAGGGUCGGUUCAUGUACUAGUAAGGCUUUAAAGGUCUUAGAAUUGUAAGUACGAUGCAAAGAGUAAGUUAGAUAUGAGUAAGCUGAGUUGGCAUCAAAAUCACUAGGUAUCUCGAGUAAAGUUGUAUGGUAUGAGUCGAUUUGAACACCAUCAAGGUUAACGAAACCUAUGGCUAUGUUAAAAUCAAAAAUUGACAUACUAAAUGUAUUACCAAGCAAUUUGAAUUAAAUUACAUUUGGGGUUUCAAUAGUCCUAGCGACAUUUAUAUCGAAACUAAACGUUGCAUAAAAUUUGUAUACAAGCUAAAAAAUGCAGCAUAGUUAAUAUUCGCAUAUGACGUCCAACCAAUAGCAUCAAAAUAAUUAAACACAUAAUCACACAUAUUAAGUGUAUCAAGGGUAAAGAGAAAUAUAUACCUACAGAUUAAGAUAAGACAAUUUUGAAUUUCCUCGUAUCUCGUACGGUGUUUUGGGGUCGUGAAAUUCAAAAAUCCCUAUAGUCUUGUUUCUUGCAAUAUUGUGUAAGUACGCCCCCAUUGGCCGUGCCUAUUAUCUCUUAGAGGUUGGCACUCCUCUUCAGCCGGGCUAUUUGGAAAACUCGGCAUAUCAACAGCCUCAAUACUACUAUUUAGGGUUGAUUCUGGCUUUCCUCUCUACUAGUGUGAUGGUUGUUGUCUAGAACGUGCCGUGACUGACCUUGUUUGGCAUGAAGGCGGUUGUUCGUUUCGAUUCGAUGGUUUUAUACCAUGGUAAUUGGAGGUGUUGGUUCUGUCCAAAUGAUCUGUCGGAUAUGUAAGCAACGAAAAAACAAGUGGGGGUCUUGAACGUUAUACCUUAUGCUAUCAGAAGUGUCCAAAUGGACUUGUAAGUCGUCUACCUCAUCUAAUGUUGAACUUCUUCCAUGGCGCUGUCGACUCGGUCCAACAACUUAUAUUGGUAGUAGUGGAAAUGAUUCUGAAUCUUCAUUAUUGAUGUCGAUGACGGGCAGUGUUGUAAAAUAAUUGUGACCCCGAUUAAGAGAAGUCAGGAAUUUGUUAGCUCCCUACUUUCUAGUACGAAUCAUGGUUUGUGUUGGCUUUGAAGAAUGAACGGAAACAUCUGUCAUGGUAGCUCACGAUAAUAGUUGGCGAUGAUGGUUCACACUGGUGGAGAUCGAUGUUUAGGAAGUGGUGUAGAGUGUUGCGAUAGUGUUCGAAAGAUUGUGGUGGGGGUUUUAAAAAUAGUGGCAUUUAUGGGAUGAGGUAUGAUAGUGGUUGGGCUUUGAAAAAGUGGUGAUUUUAUGGCUGAAGGUUCAGUAGUGGAGAGAUGUGAAUAGCGACAGUGCAUGACGAAAGGGAGGGGUAAACGAUGGUGGAGAAAAAAAUAAGAAAAACGUGCGACAAUGCUUCUCCAACUUGUGGUGUUUUGGCGCGGUGGUACGUGGCAAAGACAAAGGAAGACUAAUCGGCGGUCGAUUGUGGCAACAGUGAUGUGGAAAGGUAAGGUUUUUAGGGUUUUGUUUUAGAGAAUGUAGGGGAAGAAGAAGAAGAGAAAGGGAAAAAGAGAAGAGAAAAAUAGGGGGUUUGAAUAUUUGGGCUUUUUUUAAUAAUACCCGAUUUGGGUUUUAUUU
rnacentral:lncRNA from 1 species